GUAACCACAGCUUGUUCCUCAGUGAAUUUAUUCCACUUGUCUUAUUUUAAUGAUAUGGACUUCUAACUUUUGGAUUACAUGCUGUGACAGGGACAGCAUGAACAUACCUGGCAUGAAUAAACAGCAGGGUUGUGGUUGGAAAUAAUCCAGGCCAGGUAUUCUGUUUGGUCAAGUCUAAGAAACAGUGAGCAUGAUGAUUGCAGACACCUGUCAGCUUGUUUUAAAAAGGUAUCAGACAGUAGGAGCAGGGCUCCUGAUGGUGAACUAGUCGCCCAGGUGAUAGGCCAAGUGGCUACUGUUAGGGCCCCUGGACCUCAGUGAUCUCUGGAGAAUUGACACCUAUGUCUGGAAAGAUCUGCUGUAAACUGUUUUGUGACCUGUGACUUGCUGGUAACUACAGAUGUUCAGCUGUAAAACUGCCUGACUGAAAAAAUACAUCUUUUGUUUGGAACUUUUACCCGAUGAACAGGAUCCUUCUAUUUGUGCUUGAAAGACUUUGCAGCCACACUAUGGGGGAAGAUUUAUCAAAGCGUGGAGAGAUAAAGUGGAGAAAGUUUACAGCGGUACCUAGGUCACGCAGCCGAGACCAGCGAUUUCACUUCCGCUUGACAGAGAUGCAGGAAGUGUCCGGAUGGUGCUGUGGGUGGCGUAACUGAGGAGAACGCCAGUGGGGGGAGGUCUAUGGGGGCUUCCAAUGCUAAUACCGGCAGCAAAUUCAAAUGGGUGUAUCAACAUGGAAGAUCCCAGAAGGCUAAACCACAGCAGUGUGUAGGAGUUGCAGAUACUGUACCACGGCCCUGUGUAGAAAACAUAUAUUUCAUUUUACACCUAAUCUUUUAUUAAUUUUAUUAAGUGUUUUUAAAGUAAAUAUGGGUAGACUAAGAUGCAUGACUAAUAACUACGCCUGCUGAAUGCUGGAAUUGGUUAUCAAAAGCUACCAAGACUGUGCCCUUCCUCUGCAUUGAGACAAUCAAUCAUUGAUGAGCGCGUUCUACCAGCAGCCUAUUCUCCAGCCUAGAGAAUGCCAGGGACACCAAUCCUAUGGGGCCGGGAACAGUUUAUUCUUCCUGACAAAUGCAUAGUGGUGCGCUUAUCAAUAUGUAAAACGGAAUAUUAUUAUUGUUGGCACUAGCGCACAGCCCAAAGCCAGUAACCAUCCUUAUCCACCCUGACCCGUGCUUAAUAUAGGUUCUCGCACAUAUCAUCACAUGUUCCAUCGCUAUGGGACACAAACACUAAGUUGUACAAACACAUGUGAAAUAAUACACAUGCACAUAAAGCUUCAGUUAUUAAUCCUUUAAAAAUUGCGAAUGCAAUCAGCUUCACAAAACAAUACAACCCUAUAGGUUUUUUUUGUUUUGUUUUUUUAAGCCCAGCAAUGUGUUGACUAUCAGUCUGAUAUGCUGCUAAAUACCAUUUUAAGAAAUCUUUGUAUGGCCAAGGCCUUCUGCCACUUUACAAAUGUAUUAAUCCUGCACUGGUUUAAUUUUACACAAAAAUUUCUGCGGAGAGGAAAAAUACAGGCAAGAUGCAACCGCAUUGGAACCGACAGGUUAAGGUGAGCGAUGCAUGUCAUUGUAUUGGGACUUCAAAAACAUUUUCUAUAUAGGGGAGAAAAUCACUUCAGCCAGCAUUGGAGUCUCCUAAUAACCUGCAGGUUGGGUGAAAAGUUACACAAGACCCAGAAUAUUAUCAAACAAAACUACUGUAUAUGUACACUUGUCACCUGCACAGCGUUGGUAGCUAUAAUGUGUGUUGAACUAAUAUUUGACCCAUUCAUUUGUUAACUAGUUAUGCCACAGAGGCAUGUAGUGCCUCAUGGCGCAUUCAGGUCAUUAGUUCCUAGAUAAUGGAAAGGCUGAAUUCUUAUCAAUAUUGGUAGAUCAGUGAUAACGGCAGCUGCCGUGAGCAGCCAAAAUUUAAAUUUUAAUAUUAAAAGAAAAUGUAAUAAAACUUUUAAAAAACACCAAGUUUGCAAGGAAAUAUCUUGCCAAGACUCUGAACUGCGGGCUUAAAAACUCAUUAAAAAAUAUCCCCAGUCAUGGGGAGAAGAUGCAAUUUAACCAAAAUAUUUUGCCAAAGAAGAGCAGCGACACUAGCCACAUGCUCUGAGAGUAGAAUUAAAAGCUAACGUUUCUGUUUAACUAAUGUGGGGGGAAAAAUAAAAAAUGUAAAGUAAAAAUAGAUAACAUUUAAUUGAAACAACCAAUGUAUUAAGCAAUGCUUUAUUCUAGAAUGAAGAAUGUUUUUGUUGCAUUUUAAGAUCAAACAAAUGCAGCUUGACAUUUGAACAAGAAAAUUAUGCCUGAGAAUGCAAAGAAAAUAAAAAUAAAUUACAACUUGUUUUGUACAUAUAUAUCUAUGUUUAUAAUGUAUACAUAUAGGACACAUGUCUGAACAUGAUCUAAUUUUAAACAUGUCAUUUGUGAUUUUAUGCGUGAGAAUGUAAAAAAGUUCAACUUGUUUUAUACAUAUAUAUGUAUACAUAUAGGAAACAUGUCUGCACAUUACAGUUCAACUUGUUUUGUACAUAUAUAUGUAUACAUAUAGGAAACAUGUCUGCACAUUACCUUAUUUUAAAUAUGUCAUUUGUGAUUUUUCAGCAUCAAAGCUUAAGGUAAGUCAAUUCAAGGUAUAUAUAUACACAAUGUAUGUGUAUACAUAGCGUGUCUGGCUAUAUACAUUGAAAUAACUUUAAAACAUGGGGUGGGGAACCAUCAGACCUCCGUCUGUUGUUGAACUACACAUACCAGUAUGCCCUGCAACAGUUUUGCCUCAUUGGUUAAGUGUUUUGGUAUGUAUUCACUAAGCAGGGAUAACCCUGUUCAACCCAAUUUACCAAACGGUUACAGCAGAGAAACCCUCUAAAUGAUGUUUUAAUUGUAAUAAACAGUAAAUAAUAUUCGGCCCAUCAAUUUGUUAACUAGUUAUGCCACAGAGGCAUGUAGUGCCUCAUGGCUCAUUGUGGUCAUUAGUUCCUAGAUCAUCUUUAAAACAUGGGGAGGUGAACCUUCAGUCCUCGAUCUGUUGUUAAACUACACAUACCAGUAUGCCCUGCAACAGUU